rnacentral:rRNA from 1 species
AUUGAACGCUGGCGGCAUGCUUUACACAUGCAAGUCGAACGGUAACAGGCCGCAAGGUGCUGACGAGUGGCGAACGGGUGAGUAAUGCAUCGGAACGUGCCCAGUCGUGGGGGAUAACGCAGCGAAAGCUGUGCUAAUACCGCAUACGAUCCAUGGAUGAAAGCGGGGGACCGGAAGGCCUCCCGCUAUUGGAACGGCCGAUGCCAGAUUAGGUAGUUGGUGGGGUAAAGGCUCACCAAGCCAACGAUCUGUAGCUGGUCUGAGAGGACGACCAGCCACACUGGGACUGCGACACGGCCCAGACUCCUACGGGAGGCAGCAGUGGGGAAUUUUGGACAAUGGGCGCAAGCCUGAUCCAGCAAUGCCGCGUGCAGGAAGAAGGCCUUCGGGUUGUAAACUGCUUUUGCACGGAACGAAACGGUCUGGGUUAAUACCCUGGGCUAAUGACGGUACCGUAAGAAUAAGCACCGGCUAACUACGUGCCAGCCGCCGCUGUAAGAC